rnacentral:rRNA from 1 species
GCGCGCUUGGGCUAGAGUAGUACUGGGAUGGGUGACCUCCCGGGAAGUCCUAGUGUUGCACCCU